CAGUCCUGACACACAAACGCACACAGGAACGCAGGUAAAACAGGCAGGACGACGAGGGAGCGCGCGCACGGGACGGACACACAUGCCAGGACGAAGCUGGGACUUGGUCUCCAGGUCAGACAUCUUGGCGUGAAGUGCUUCCAGAGCAUCUUUCUCCUGCUGCAGGGCAGCUACCUCCGACUCCUGCUCGGCCUCCACCAGAGCUCGCUCCAGCUCCACCUCGGAUUCAUCUAUCUGGUUGUCCAGCUCUUUGAUCUUCUGCUCCAGCUCCUCCAUGUUGUUCAGCACCUGGAUCCUCUCCUCUUCCACGCGCCUCACUUCCUCCUCUGAAGGUCCGCGGCGACGGGCUGCGUCGUCUACAGCCUGGGAACCAUUUUUUUUUAGAGUUUUUAGAUUCAUGGUAAUUCGGUGGUGGUGACAUCAAGUUCCAAAUACUAAACACUGGUUUGCUGUGGUGAAGAAGUUGGACUGUGCAUUCUGAAAUCUGAACACGCAGCCAGCUGUAAUCUAAUAAAUGAUCUGGAUAAAACUCCA